rnacentral:rRNA from 1 species
AGUGAACGCUGGCGGUAGGCCUAACACAUGCAAGUCGAACGGCAGCACAGUAAGAGCUUGCUCUUACGGGUGGCGAGUGGCGGACGGGUGAGGAAUACAUCGGAAUCUACUUUUUCGUGGGGGAUAACGUAGGGAAACUUACGCUAAUACCGCAUACGACCUACGGGUGAAAGCAGGGGAUCUUCGGACCUUGCGCGAUUGAAUGAGCCGAUGUCGGAUUAGCUAGUUGGCGGGGUAAGGGCCCACCAAGGCGACGAUCCGUAGCUGGUCUGAGAGGAUGAUCAGCCACACUGGAACUGAGACACGGUCCAGACUCCUACGGGAGGCAGCAGUGGGGAAUAUUGGACAAAGGGCGCAAGCCUGAUCCAGCCAUACCGCGUGGGUGAAGAAGGCCUUCGGGUUGUAAAGCCCUUUUGUUGGGAAAGAAAAGCAGCAGGUUAAUACCCCGCUGUCCUGACGGUACCCAAAGAAUAAGCACCGGCUAACUUCGUG